rnacentral:rRNA from 1 species
UACAGAGGGUGCAAGCGUUGUUCGGAAUUAUUGGGCGUAAAGCGCGUGUAGGCGGCUUUGCAAGUCGGGUGUGAAAUCCCUCGGCUCAACUGAGGAACUGCCUUUGAAACUGUCGGGCUUGAGGCCGGGAGGGGGUAGCGGAAUUCCCAGUGUAGCGGUGAAAUGCGUAGAUAUUGGGAGGAACACCGGUGGCGAAGGCGGCUACCUGGACCGGUUCUGACGCUGAUGCGCGAAAGCGUGGGUAGCAAACAGG